AGUAGCUACUCUUUUCCUAAGCCGUUAGCUAAGCUAAUGUUACACCACCUGCCGCAAAUGUUUUUUUUUUGUUUGUUUGAAAGAUAUUUGUAGGCCUUUAUUGACAGGACAGCCGAAGAAAUGAAAGGGGAGAGAGAGGGGGGAAUGAAAUGCAGCAAAGAGCCACAGGUCGGAGUCGAACCCUGGCCCGCUGCGUCGAAGAGCAAACCUCCAUACAUGGACGCCCGCUCCACCAACCGAGCCACCCGGGCGCCCACCUGCCGCAAAUGUUUACCGGUAAUUCAACCUGUGACCGCUGUUGCUUUACUCCAGUGAGCUAAGUGCAGUGGGAUGCCUUUCUGCAGCGUUUGGAUGAUGAGUUACAACUGAGCGCUAAAAUACUGGAUGGGAACCAUCAGUCAAAAAUAUACUUCACCAGAUACAUCUCUCAUUGAUGCCAAAACAGAACAGUGAGAUUGGAGAAAUAUCUUGGGAAAGGUAAAAAGACCCUGCUGGUGUUAAUCCGUCAGUUCUCCUGUCUACUCGGCCGUCUCCACCUUAAAGAUCUGGAGAAGAAUCAGGUGAUGUCCACCUCUUUGGGCUCCGGUUUCCUCUGCAGCUGAAUCAGAUGAACAAACAUUUUGUUAACAGCCAUUUCAAGUGGACACCGGAUCGACAACGUAAUGUGAUGCUUCCAAUAUUUACGAAGCCCCUGAUGCUUUUGGAUCAACAAGUUAAUUCACACAUUUCUGUGGACAGCACUCCAAGGGGGAUCAGCUGUCAUGUGCAGGUCCCAGGCUGGGGAUAGCCUGCUGCGGAAGGGGGGAAAUGCACGGACGUGAGAACCCCUUGCAAACCCCCCAUCUGCACGUCAUGGAACAUUUACAGAACAGGGACCUCCCAUAUUUAAGGCGUGCAACAGAGAGCAUACACAACAGUGAGACCUGCCCUGCACCGGGCUCACCAUCUUAGGUGACAAAUAGGCUACACCGCCAGAGACGGACACCGCUUUUUAGUGUAGAUCGGCGGAUAAGGAAGCACAUAAUAACUGCUUUAAAACCCACCAUGGCCGCGGUGUGAAGCAGUGGGGAACGGAGGCUUACCGGUCACUGUGCAACGGGCAGAUCAUGUCAUUCCACCGACACUCUUCUGAUGCAUGACAGGGAAUCUUGUGUUCCUGGGUGGACUGUGUGCAGCACGGGUGUAGGGAUCAGU